GUGCCCCCAGGUGUGCCCAGGUGUCCCCAGGUGUGUUCCCAGGUGUCCCCAGGUGUGUUCCAGGUCCCCCCAGGUGUGUUUUUGCUGUCCCCAGGUGUCCCCAGGUGUGUUCCAGGUGUCCCCAGGUGUGUUCCAGGUGUCCCCAGGUGUGUUCCCAGGUGUCCCCAGGUGUGUCCCCAGCUGUCCCCAGGUGUCCCCAGGUGUGUCCCAGCUGUGUCCAGGUGUGUCCCAGGUGUCCCCAGGUGUCCCCAGGUGUCCCCAGCUGUCCCCAGGUGUCCCCAGGUGUCCCCAGCUGUCCCCAGGUGUCCCCAGGUGUCCCCAGGUGUCCCCAGGUGUGUCCCCAGGUGUGUCCCCAGGUGUCCCCAGGUGUGUCCCCAGUGUCCCCAGGUGUGUCCCCAGCUGUCCCCAGCUGUCCCCAGGUGUCCCAGGUGUCCCCAGGUGUCCCCAGGUGUCCCCAGGUGUCCCCAGCUGUCCCCAGGUGUCCCCAGGUGUUCCCAGCUGUCCCCAGGUGUCCCAGGUGUGUCCCCAGCUGUCCCCAGGUGUCCCCAGCUGUGUCACCUGCCCAGGUGCGUUCCGCCCCACCCCCCUCACCUGAGCGCGGCUGUCCCGGCUCAGCUGAGCACAGCACACCUGGGGAGAGGGAAAGGACAGGUGAGGGGACAGGGGGGAAAAUCGGGGAAAAUCGGGAAAAAUUGGGAAAAAAUUGGGAAAAAUUGGAAAAAUCAGGAAAAUCAGGAAAAAAUUGGGAAAAAAUUGGGAAAAAUUUGGAAAAAUUGGGAAAAAUUGGGAAAAAUUUGGAAAAAUUGGGAAAAAUCAGGAAAAAAUUGGGAAAAAUUGGGAAAAUUGGUAAAAAUCAGGAAAAAUUGGGGAAAAAUUAGAAACAAUUGGGGAAAAAAUUGGAAAAAGUUGGGAAAAAUUGGGAAAAAUGAUGAAAAAUUAGGAAAAACCAGGAAAAAUCAGGAAAAAUUAGGAAAAAUCAGGAAAAAAUGAGAAAAAUUAGGGAAAAUUAGGGAAAAUUGG
rnacentral:lncRNA from 1 species